rnacentral:rRNA from 1 species
UACGUAGGGUGCGAGCGUUGUCCGGAAUUAUUGGGCGUAAAGAGCUCGUGGGCGGUGUGUCACGUCGGCCGUGAAAACCUGCAGCUUAACUGUGGGCGUGCGGUCGAUACGGGCAUCACUGGAGUUCGGCAGGGGAGACUGGAAUUCCUGGUGUAGCGGUGAAAUGCGCAGAUAUCAGGAGGAACACCGGUGGCGAAGGCGGCUCACUGGCCCGGUACUGACGCUGAGGCGCGAAAGCGUGGGGAGCAAACAGG